GCCCCUGCAACCCCAGCACCAGCCACUUUACGUCUUUACCUACCUUUCUUCCCACCAUCGCCCCCGCCCGCCAGAAGAAGAAACAUAGGCGACUCAAAGACUUUUCCGACCAUGCCCCCGGCUCAUGUGCCUCGCGUGUAUGACUUCCCCCCGCCGCCGCCGCCGCUGCUGGAGGCGGAGGCGGCUGAACAGGAAGAGGAGGAGUCGGGUUCUCUGCCGAUGAGCCCCCCCAUCCUGCUCCUCCCGCCGGACGCCCUCCACAACGUCCUUGGCCGCCUCCCCCUCCUCCAGGCCCUCGCCUGCCGCUCCGUCUGCCACCUCUUCCGCGACGCGAUCUCCUCCCCGUCCUUCCUCGCCGCCCUCCCCCCGGUCCGCCUCCUCGCCCUUCGCCACCCCCGUGCGGCCGCUUCCACCCCCUCCCUCCACGCCUUCGACACCGCCCUCGGUCGUUGGCUCCGCCUACCCCUCUCCUUCCUCCCCUUCCCCUCCUCGUCCCCCGUCACCGCUUCCCCCUCCCUCCUCUACCUCUGGGCUGACACUUCCGCCGCCCCCUCCGCCGUAGGCGACCCUAAGAAUCCCAAGUCCCUCAUUCUCUGUAACCCGCUCGCCCGCUCGUACCGCCUCCUCCCCCCACUCGGCUCCGCCUGGUCCCGCCACGGCACCGUCCUCGCCGGCCCCGGCGGCGCCGCCCUCGUCCUCACCGAGCUGGCCGCCCUCGCCUACGCCCCCGGCGCCGACCGCUGGCUCAAGUUCUCCCUCAACCUCCCUUCCAAGCCCCGGAGCCCGAUCCUGAUGGGCGGCGCCGUCUACACCCUCUGCGACGUCGGCACCCCGUGGCGCAGCCAGUGGAAGCUCUUCUCCUGCGGGCUCCACGACCUCGGCGGGCCCCGCAGGUGGGCCCCGAUCGAGCGGCAUGAGUGGGGGGACGUCUUCGACAUCCUGAAGCGGCCCCGGCUGCUCCCCGGGGCGGGCGGCGGCCGGAUCCUGAUGAUCGGAGGGUUGCGGUCGUCGUUCGCGAUCGACGCGCCGUGCUCGACGGUCCUGAUCUUGAGGUUGGAUCUGGCGACGCUGGAGUGGGACGAGGCAGGAAGGAUGCCGCCGGAGAUGUACCGGUGCUUCGGCGGCGUGGUGCCGGGGCCGGUGGCUGCCGCGGCGGCCGUUGCAGGGGGGAAUAACAAGGUGAAGGUGUUCGGAGGGGACGGGAGGGUUUGGUUCUCGGGGAAGAGGGUGAGGGGAAAGCUGGCGAUGUGGGAGGAGGAGGCGAUUGGGAAGAGUCGCGGCGGUGUGUGGAGGUGGCUGGACGGUUUGCCGGGUUACAAUGAGGGGGUGUACAGAGGGUUCGUGUUCGAUGCCGGAUUCACUGCCAUGCCCUGAAGUCAUCGUCAAACUAACUGGACUUGUGAUUUGGUCGUAGCCGGGUGACAAGCUAUUCUGAAUUUUAUCUAUACUUCUUUGUGGACUCUUGACUCCUUGGGAGCCCUCUCAAGCCAUGCUGCUUAUUUGUAUCAAAACAAACAUGAGGAAGUGGGAAAAUGCACAUGGAAUAUCAGUGAUGGACGAAGCAACAAUUACAUCACAAGUGAGUCAUUGCAAGUGGCAAUGUGACAGUUCUCUUGCUUUCUUAUGGCUUUUGCUCGCAUGAACCUGUUUGAUGUUCUGCAUGAUAAUUUCUUGAGACUGAUGAGAGUGGAGAUAAACAGUUAUAUCAUUCAGGUUAAUAUUGAGACUUGAGACCCGGAUAAAUCUGUAUGUAUGUCAUUUUCUUUAAUAGAUCGUUAAACUUAAAGUUGUUUAGGUCUUAGGAAAAGGAGUGAUUGCCAAGCAACUAAUUAAUCAUUUAAUUGGUGAGCCCAUUUCAAUUGCCAGAAGACUAAAUGACAGGUGACGUAUAUUUGCACGCCAAGAUUUCGUGGUUGUCCAACUAAAUUCCACUCUGGUGUCACUGUCGCGUGGGCAUGCCAAUUUUAUCAUAUUUGUUCAGGCUUUUAGCCAGGCAUCAUCAAUCACUAAGAAUUUGGGUGUGAUAGAGCUGUCCGAUUUUUUCAUGGAUCUUGAUACUUGUGAUAGGGAAUGUUCUAAGAUGUGCCGAUUGGGUUCU